UACAGAGGUCCCAAGCGUUGUUCGGAUUCACUGGGCGUAAAGGGUGCGUAGGUGGCAGGGUAAGUUUGAUGUGAAAUCUCCGAGCUCAACUCGGAAAUGGCAUUGAAUACUAUCCUGCUUGAGGGUCGGAGGGGAGACUGGAAUUCCUGGUGUAGCAGUGAAAUGCGUAGAUAUCAGGAGGAACACCGAUGGCGAAGGCAGGUCUCUGGGCUGACACUGACGCUCAUGCACGAAAGCGUGGGGAGCAAACAGG
rnacentral:rRNA from 1 species